AAAGUGUAAGCUAGCUGUCUGUUCCUGCCAAGAGGGAACGCAGGUUGAGGACAGCAACACAUUAAAAGUGCAAUGAAAAACUGUUUUGUCAUUACCAAAGUAAUAUAUUAAUAUGCUAAUCGAUGCAAUGUACAAUAUUCAUAUUCAUGAAGAGAACCCUUUUAAAGUGUGUAAAAUGAUCCUCGUAGGGUCAGAUGUGUUAUGUAGCUGCAUUAAGAUCAAAGUUAGAUUAUGGGAGCUGCGUUCAUGGAUCUGAAUCAGAAACUGUAUUUAGAAGAGAUGAUCCAUAACAUCUGUGUUUCUCCAUAGUGAGACACACUUCACACACAUAAGAAACUAACACAAAGCCUUGGUUUGCAUCAUUGGAACGUCUUUACCUCCUGGUGUUAUCUGUAACUAUUUUGGCCUGCUGCUGACUUUAGUGGUAAAUUAUAUUCUUUUAUCAUUAAAAACAGAAGACUGCGCUGUGAGGCCGUCCUAAUAGACAGACUGAGAAUAAGAGUCAGCAUCCAUGUUGUUAGAAACACUUGUGAAAAAUGUCUGAUAGACACAUGGUUGCUUAAUAUUUUUUAAAUAUACUUCAUCUCCAGUCUGCUUUGCUAUAACCAUGAUCGUAAUUUGCAAUACUUCUAUUUCUGUUUAUGUGAUUUAAACCUUGUUGAAAGUAUUCUGGUGGAGGUCUUUCAUAUAUAUAUAUAUACACAUCAUCAACAAGUGUUUUUGUUCGGGCGAUCAGUUCCAUGGCAACGGAAUGACAUCAACAAGAGUCUUUGAUGUGUCUCGGAACACUAGAUCAUUGCGUUUCUGGUUCUAUAAGAGUGCAGCUGGAUAUUUUCUCUCAAAAGUAUCUACGAUUUUUGUCCUUUACACACUUAAGUAGUUUUUUUGAAGAUUUACCACCAUUUUUCAAAGGUUACAUCGAGUCAUUUAGCGACAAAUAAAACACCAGUCUUUUUCAAGACUACACCCCUUUUCAGGGCUGACCAACAGUCUUUUUCAAGGCUAUACAAGUAUUCACCAUGUAC
ensembl:lncRNA